rnacentral:rRNA from 1 species
UCGUUGUCCGGAAUGAUUGGGCGUAAAGCGCGCGCAGGCGGCUUCUUAAGUCUGAUGUGAAAGCCCACGGCUCAACCGUGGAGGGUCAUUGGAAACUGGGGAGCUUGAGUACAGGAGAGGAGAGUGGAAUUCCACGUGUAGCGGUGAAAUGCGUAGAGAUGUGGAGGAACACCAGUGGCGAAGGCGGCUCUCUGGCCUGAGACUGACGCUGAGGCGCGAAAGCGUGGGGAGCGAACAGGAUUAGAUACCCUGGUAGUCCACGCCGUAAACGAUGAGUGCUAGGUGUUAGGGGGGACCACCCCUUAGUGCUGAAGUGAACACAUUAAGCACUCCGCCUGGGGAGUACGACCGCAAGGUUGAAACUCAAAGGAAUUGACGGGGGCCCGCACAAGCAGAGGAGCAUGUGGUUUAAUUCGAAGCAACGCGAAGAACCUUACCAGGUCUUGACAUCCUCUGCGAACCUCAGAGAUGAGGUGUUCCCCUUCGGGGGACAGAGAGACAGGUGGUGCAUGGUUGUCGUCAGCUCGUGUCGUGAGAUGUUGGGUUAAGUCCCGCAACGAGCGCAACCCUUGACCUUUGUUGCCAGCAUUCAGUUGGGCACUCAAAGGUGACUGCCGGUGACAAACCGGAGGAAGGUGGGGAUGACGUCAAAUCAUCAUGCCCCUUAUGACCUGGGCAACACACGUGCUACAAUGGGCGGUACAACGGGUAGCGAAGCCGCGAGGUGAAGCCAAUCCCAAAAAGCCGCUCUCAGUUCGGAUUGCAGGCUGCAACCCGCCUGCAUGAAGCCGGAAUUGCUAGUAA